rnacentral:rRNA from 1 species
UUAAAUUGAAGAGUUUGAUCAUGGCUCAGAUUGAACGCUGGCGGCAGGCCUAACACAUGCAAGUCGAACGGUAACAGGAAGCAGCUUGCUGCUUCGCUGACGAGUGGCGGACGGGUGAGUAAUGUCUGGGAAACUGCCUGAUGGAGGGGGAUAACUACUGGAAACGGUGGCUAAUACCGCAUAACGUCGCAAGACCAAAGAGGGGGACCUUCGGGCC